CCUCUCGUUGCUUAGUGGUCAGAGUAUUGAUGCGCAAAGUCAAAGGGCCCGGGUUCGAUUCCCGGCGUGGGCG
rnacentral:tRNA from 1 species